ACGCCUAAACAUGCAAGUCGAACGAAGUAGCAAUACUUAGUGGCAGACGGGUGAGUAACAUGUGGGUAUCUACCCUUUGGCCUGGAAUAACACGAGGAAACUUGUGCUAAUACCGGAUAAGUCUUUACGGAGAAAGCUUUAUGCACCAUUGGAUGAGCCCGCACUUGAUUAGUUUGUUGGUAGGGUAAUGGCCUACCAAGACUAUGAUCAAUAGCUGAUUUGAGAGGAUGAUCAGCCACAUUGGGACUGAGACACGGCCCAAACUCCUACGGGAGGCAGCAGUGGGGAAUCUUGCACAAUGGAGGAAACUCUGAUGCAGCGAUGCCGCGUGAGUGAAGAAGGCCUUUGGGUUGUAAAGCUCUUUCGUCGGGGAAGAAAAUGACUGUACCCGAAUAAGAAGGUCCGGCUAACU
rnacentral:rRNA from 1 species